GAUGAACGCUGGCGGCGUGCCUAAUACAUGCGAGUCGAGCGAACAGACGAGGAGCUUGCUCCUCUGACGUUAGCGGCGGACGGGUGAGUAACACGUGGAUAACCUACCUAUAAGACUGGGAUAACUUCGGGAAACCGGAGCUAAUACCGGAUAAUAUAUUGAACCGCAUGGUUCAAUAGUGAAAGACGGUUUUGCUGUCACUUAUAGAUGGAUCCGCGCCGCAUUAGCUAGUUGGUAAGGUAACGGCUUACCAAGGCAACGAUGCGUAGCCGACCUGAGAGGGUGAUCGGCCACACUGGAACUGAGACACGGUCCAGACUCCUACGGGAGGCAGCAGUAGGGAAUCUUCCGCAAUGGGCGAAAGCCUGACGGAGCAACGCCGCGUGAGUGAUGAAGGGCUUCGGAUCGUAAAACUCUGUUAUUAGGGAAGAACAAAUGUGUAAGUAACUAUGCACGUCUUGACGGUACCUAAUCAGAAAGCCACGGCUAACUACGUG
rnacentral:rRNA from 1 species